rnacentral:rRNA from 1 species
AGAGUUUGAUCCUGGCUCAGAAUGAACGCUGGCGGCGUGCUUUACACAUGCAAGUCGAGCGAGGCGGCCCGCAAGAGCCAGUCGAGCGGCGAACGGGUGAGUAACACGUGGAUCAUCUGCCCAGAGGUGGGGGAUAACCCGGGGAAACUUGUGCUAAUACCGUAUACGCCCUAAGGGGGAAAGAUUUAUCGGAAUUAGAUGAGCCCGCGUAAGAUUAGCUAGUUGGUGGGGUAAUGGCCUACCAAGGCGACGAUCUUUAGCUGGUCUGAGAGGAUGAUCAGCCACACUGGGACUGAGACACGGCCCAGACUCCUACGGGAGGCAGCAGUGGGGAAUAUUGGACAAUGGGCGAAAGCCUGAUCCAGCCAUGCCGCGUGAGUGAUGAAGGCCCUUAGGGUUGUAAAGCUUCUUUCAGUAGGGAAAGAUAAAUGACGUACCUACAG